rnacentral:lncRNA from 1 species
AAAAAUUGUACUUUUGGCCAAGAGUCAUAAAAAUGUUCAUGCCCUUUGAAUCCGUAAUCCUUUUUCUGGGAAUCAAGCCUCAGAAAAGAAUCCCACAUGUAACCUGCAAGCCUCCUCCACGGUGGGUGGGUCGGGGGGUGCAAAUGCCUAUUUUCCAGUUGGUUGCUUGAAUUUCCAAUGCUCUAUUAGCAGGAAGUUGAGUCUUGACUUUUUGAGGCUUCCCAUCACCCCUUUUAUUGGUCAAGAAUACUAGGUGCUUUAUUCAAUUCAAAGAGGGUCAGAAAAGAAGGGAAUAGAACUAGUCCACAGCAGAAGCUCUAGGCUGAGUUACUGUUGCUUCCAUCAUUACCGCCUGCUCUACUAUUGAAAGUGGUCCAGAGCAUCCAUGUCCGGGGUCAUACUGAGUUCCCUGUGAGUGCCAGCACUUACCACAGGAGCCCUUUGAAACAUAAUCCUGUGCCUUAAGGCUGAGCUUAUUAAUAUCUCCACAUUUUGGCUCCCAAAGUCUCAGCUCAGAUGCUCAUGUUGUCAUGUUCAUUCAUCCUUCCCGGAACAACAGCAUCCUUCCCAGAACAGAGUGGCUGGGUCCAGAGGUGCUUCGACCUCAGAUGCAUGAUGAGUCCAAGCAUCCACCAUGUUACAUCUGGACCACUAGCCUGAAUUGUGUUUGCCUAUUAAUAAUACUCUUGAGAGUUCCUAAGAGCAGCAGCUGGGGCCACGGGGACUGUGAAGAAAACCAAAACCACAAUCUCAGAACCUCUCCUAUUGCAUAAUCAAGAUGUGAAUCACUGUAACUGCUGAGACGCUGACCCCUGCAAAGAAAACCUUCUAACCAAUCUGUGUAGCAACCAAAGAGACCCCAAGUUAUAGCUGUUAUUCCAGAAAUUACUGUAUUUAAGCCAGGAACUCAGAGUUUUAUCUACACGGAAUGUUAUUGUUGAUCAUUUGACCUCACUGUUGAGACAGAGUGAGUUGAUGUUCCUUGCCAAAUAGCUGAGGAAGACAAAGUCUAUGCCUUCACAGCAUUGUUUAAAAAAAAAAAAUUUCUACAGAAAAUCUUCAGUCACUUCCCCACUCAAUAAAAAUUUAGAAUUAAAGCAAAAGUGUAUCAGUCAGGAUUCUUAGUUGCAAACAUCAGAAACUAGCUCCAACAGAUUUAAACAGAAAAAUAAUUUAUCAGAAGAACUGUGGAAAUGACCCUGACGUCUGUUUAAAUAAAAUGGAUAAAUUGUGAUAUACAAUGAAAUAUACAACAAUGAAAAAAGAACAAACCGUCAAUAUGCACAACAGUAUGAAUGUAGCAUAUAGAAAUAAUAUUGAGUUAAGAAGCCAAACAGUAUAUAUUUCCAUUUACAUUAAGUUCAGAAACAGGCAAAACAAAUCCAUGGUGUUAGCAUCAGUGUAGUGGUUAAUCUGCGGUGGAAGAAGGGCUAACAGGAGCCAUGAGGAGGGAUUCGGGGUGCUGGUUAGACAGGUAUGCUCAGUUUGGAAAAUUCAUUGAGCCAUGCACACUUGAUACAUAUUCUUUUCUCUAUGUAUGUCUUCGUGAAAGUCACACAGAAAGAAAUCAACAGACGGGCUAUUAGUAGGUCAAAAUAUCACCAGUAAGUGCUGGAGACACAGGUUUGGGACUGUAAGUCCAAGCAUGCCUUCCAAAUCUGGCACAAAACUUGAAUGAGUACAUCUUGCUGCGGCCACUGAGCAGCAGAUGAUGUCCUUUGCUUUGCAGACCCUGCGCCUGGGACAUACAUGUACCCCUAUCUGACAUUUGGUUAUAUGUGCAUUUGUUUAUUUCCUGUCUCCUCAACUAGAAUGUGAGCUCACUGCUGGCACAAAAUAGGUACUCAGAAAACAUUUAUUGAAUGAAUCUAACUGCCUUGUUCAUAACUGAGCAGGGUUCCCCAUCUCAUGGACGC